AUACGUAUGUCGCAAGCGUUAUCCGGAUUUAUUGGGCGUAAAGCGCGUCUAGGCGGCUUAGUAAGUCUGAUGUGAAAAUGCGGGGCUCAACCCCGUAUUGCGUUGGAAACUGCUAAACUAGAGUACUGGAGAGGUAGGCGGAACUACAAGUGUAGAGGUGAAAUUCGUAGAUAUUUGUAGGAAUGCCGAUGGGGAAGCCAGCCUACUGGACAGAUACUGACGCUAAAGCGCGAAAGCGUGGGUAGCAAACAGGAUUAGGUACCCUGGUAGUCCACGCCGUAAACGAUGAUUACUAGGUGUUGGGGGUCGAACCUCAGCGCCCAAGCUAACGCGAUAAGUAAUCCGCCUGGGGAGUACGUACGCAAGUAUGAAACUCAAAGGAAUUGACGG
rnacentral:rRNA from 1 species